UACGGAGGGUGCAAGCAUUAAUCGGAUUUACUGGGCGUAAAGGGUGCGUAGGCGGAAGUGUUAGUCAGAUGUGAAAUUCCGGGGCUCAACCCCGGCGCUGCAUUUGAAACUGCAUUUCUAGAGGAUAGGCGGAGAAAACAGAAUUCCACAAGUAGCGGUGAAAUGCGUAGAUAUGUGGAGGAAUACCGGUGGCGAAGGCGGUUUUCUAGCUUAUUCCUGACGCUAAAGCGCGAAAGCAAGGGGAUCAAACAGG
rnacentral:rRNA from 1 species